rnacentral:lncRNA from 1 species
CAGAAGCUCUUUACUUAGCAGAACACCACACAGCCCAGCAGUUGCUUGUCACAGCUGUAAUUAGAUUAUAUCAAACCAGCAGUGUUGAAACAUUGCAUUGCCUCACUCAGCUGUAACUCCUGAGCUCCUCCAAAGCCCUGAGCUUUCCACAGUGAUACCUAGGGAGGAGAGUGGUGGUGGUGGGAGACAAGUGAUGAUGGGUCAUACCCUGGGAGGUGUUAAAACACACUGGUCAGCUCUUCUCUUUCUCUGGCUGCCCUCUCUAGUUAGAGGGGCUCUGCAUAUUGCAGGGAGCAUUCAGCAUCAGGCAGCUAUGCAGCCAUCCGUUAUGCUGAAGCUCUGCUGGCCCCAAGAAGACUGCUUCAGAACACAGGGGACAGAUUUACAAAUCCAUUUUCGUAGUUUAAUGUGCUUCUUUCUAAAAUGAGUUUUUCUUUUAAUUUACCCCCAGGGCUGGGUCUUCAGAUCUCAUACCCGCUGACGCGUUAUAAAGUAAAAUAAUGCCCAGCCAAACUGCUGGUACAAUGAAAAGAAAUUAUUCUACUCUGUUACUUUGUUUAUAACUUUCUACAUUUGAGAGGAGAUGAAAGUUGUUGAGCUUGCAUCCUUGGAGAAUAAAAU